rnacentral:rRNA from 1 species
UACGUAGGGGGCGAGCGUUGUCCGGAUUUACUGGGCGUAAAGCGCGUGUAGGCGGCUUCUUAAGUCGGGUGUGAAAGCCCGGGGCUCAACCCCGGGAUGCCGCCCGAGACUGGGAGGCUUGAGGUCGGAAGAGGGGAGUGGAAUUCCAGGUGUAGCGGUGAAAUGCGUAGAGAUCUGGAGGAACACCCGUGGCGAAGGCGGCUCCCUGGUCCGGUUCUGACGCUGAGACGCGAAAGCGCGGGGAGCGAACGGG